rnacentral:rRNA from 1 species
UGGGGAAUAUUGCACAAUGGGGGAAACCCUGAUGCAGCGACGCCGCGUGGAGGAAGAAGGUCUUCGGAUUGUAAACUCCUGUUGUUGGGGAAGAUAAUGACGGUACCCAACAAGGAAGUGACGGCUAACUACGUGCCAGCAGCCGCGGUAAAACGUAGGUCACAAGCGUUGUCCGGAAUUACUGGGUGUAAAGGGAGCGCAGGCGGGAAGACAAGUUGGAAGUGAAAUCUAUGGGCUCAACCCAUAAACUGCUUUCAAAACUGUUUUUCUUGAGUAGUGCAGAGGUAGGCGGAAUUCCCGGUGUAGCGGUGGAAUGCGUAGAUAUCGGGAGGAACACCAGUGGCGAAGGCGGCCUACUGGGCACCAACUGACGCUGAGGCUCGAAAGUGUGGGUAGCAAACAGGAUUAGAUACCCUGGUAGUCCACACCGUAAACGAUGAUUACUAGGUGUUGGAGGAUUGACCCCUUCAGUGCCGCAGUUAACACAAUAAGUAAUCCACCUGGGGAGUACGACCGCAAGGUUGAAACUCAAAGGAAUUGACGGGGGCCCGCACAAGCAGUGGAGUAUGUGGUUUAAUUCGACGCAACGCGAAGAACCUUACCAAGUCUUGACAUCCUGCGACGGACAUAGAAAUAUGUUUUUCCUUCGGGACGCAGAGACAGGUGGUGCAUGGUUGUCGUCAGCUCGUGUCGUGAGAUGUUGGGUUAAGUCCCGCAACGAGCGCAACCCUUAUGGUCAGUUACUACGCAAGAGGACUCUGGCCAGACUGCCGUUGACAAAACGGAGGAAGGUGGGGAUGACGUCAAAUCAUCAUGCCCUUUAUGACUUGGGCUACACACGUACUACAAUGGCGUUAAACAAAGAGAAGCAAGACCGCGAGGUGGAGCAAAACUCAGAAACAACGUCCCAGUUCGGACUGCAGGCUGCAACUCGCCUGCACGAAGUCGGAAUUGCUAGUAAUCGUGGAUCAGCAUGCCACGGUGAAUACGUUCCC